GGGUGGGGGGUGGGGGGCGGCCGGAGCCAGGUCCGCGCAGGCGCGUGCCGCCCGCACCCCUCCCUCCUACCCCCUGCCCUGGUGGCGCUGGAGCGACACCUGGCCCUCUCCUUGUCGCCUCCCGCCGCGAGUCUCCCAGGCUCCUUCCCCGCCUCCGUCCCCAGCAUCAGGCCUCUGCGGAGGAGUACGUCGUCUUCUUACUGGUGACCUCGCGUCCGCCCGGGAUACGUCUUAGGAAACAGGACAAGGAAGAAUGGGCAUCUUGAGGAGCAGGAUGAGAUCAUAGAUUUUAAGAAGAGCAGCUAGGAAGAUAGUGGGUUACAAGGCAAAGCAUCCUGGACCAGGGAUCAAGAGGCCUCAGUCCAGCGCUGAUCCUCAGUCAUUUCACAGCAGGUGAGAGAAACAUGCAAUUCUUCCAAUAAAUGGUCUUAAAAGGAGAGCCCAAGAGAUGCUGCACAGCAAUUUUCGGCUUCCCAGAAGCAGCAGACGUGCAUAAGAGUCCUCAAAAGGAGCCUUGAUCUGCACCAGCGCUGAGGAGGACAACAUGAACCUAUGCUUACAUUUUGGGGGAAAUAACUGGGAAGGAGAAGAGAGAAGGCCUUAGAGGAGGAGUUAUCCCUACACAGUAAUAAGAGUUAGUUAUCAUAUUCAUCUUUGUAUCUGUGGUACUAAGAGCAGUGCCUGGAUGACUAGAUAGUCAAUAUAGAUGGCAAAUGUUGAGUGAGUGGAUGGAUCGAUAAGUAGAUAUGAUAGAUAUAUCUAGAAAAUAGAGACUAAAGCAAUGUAUCACAAUCUCUUUCAGGCCUGUUAACUUGACAAGAUUGCCGGUGGUGACUGGAAUAGCGACCGGCUCUACACACACGCACGCCAGGCAUCUUAGCUCAUCUAAUCACCAGUGCCCCCUUCCACUCUCCUGGCAACCAUUUGCCAAAAAUAAAUAAGCCCAUAGCACUAUGAAGAUUGAGCUUUACUAAUUUACUAGCUAGGAAAAAGUAGGUUAUAGUUUCUGGUGAAUAUUUAUAAAAAUCUCUAUUCACUAUAACUGAUACUUAAGGAUUUUACUCAAAAUUGUGUAGCAGUACAGAAGUAAAUGAGCAGACAUUUCCUCUGAGUAGAAAAGUGGGGGCUAAAGAGUAAAGCUGAAUAAUAACAGAGUCAGAAAGAAUAAGAAGGCAAAAAAUAAAACAUUGUGACUAGAAAACAACUAGAACCAAGCGAUGAUUGCUUGAAAUGUGUGAAUAUGCCCUGACUGGCUGUGAGUGACACAGCAUCUGUCCUCCUUGAUAUCAUGGAGCACAAAUCCUGUAAAACUGCAUGUGACUAGUAAGGAAAGCAGAAGCUAACACCACCUUACCCGAUAUUUGGGUAUUUCCAACUUAGUGCUUCCUAUUCCACAGGCUUUAAAUAAUUAUACAAUGAGAAGAUAUGAGUAGAAGUAGCUGGCAUCCUACAACUCCUAUAAAAGUAGUGUAAAUGAGUGACAUCUGUGUAUCUUUUGACACAAAUGCUCACCAAUAAAUGUAGAAGAAGGGAUAAGAGUAAAAAGCCAAGAUUUUCCAACCACCAUAGUAAUUGAUUCUGGCUAGAAUUAUCAAUGAAUGCUAAAAUGAUUGGUUGAAGGAUUGUUAAGGAACAAGAUAUUCACACAAUCUGAAACAUCAUUCCAGGGAUCAUAUUAUUUACAAAGGGAAGAGGAAGUUUGAGAAUGGAAAAUUGGCAGACAGUACCUUAACCAAAUGAUCAAGUUAACAUGACCAGUAAUGGGACAGACUGAUACCACAUGCCUCCUGCAGCGAGGCACUGAAAGGAUACCAGGCCUGCAAUCCUGCGUGGCACCACGGCUCCGAAAGGGCAGCAGAAAGCUGCUACACAGAGCUGCUUCAUGAGGCUUUCAGGGAAACCAUUAGGUUGAGUCAAAAUAUGGAAGGCUGGUGAGAGUUUUGGGAGUAAGUUUCAGCAAAACUUAUUGACAGCAAGAAUUUUGCGGAGAUUGUGUGUCCUCUCAGGAAACUGGCGUUCAUAUGGAAAUAGUUCUCAGCUGCUUGAGGAGCAGCAGCAUAACAAAUCUGCAAGGGUCUCCAUGGCCAAUUCAAACCUCUCUGCUCUCGUGAAGGCCAGGGUCAGCGCCCUGCUCCAAGUACUCGUCCUGCAUCUCUACCACCAGGAGCUUGCUGAUGAUGUCCUUCCCAGCACCUCUGAACAAGACAACUUUUAGCCAAGAAAGAUUUCCUAGGCCAGCGCUUCACACACUUUCAUGUGCACACAAGCCCCUGGGAAUCUUGUUAAACUGCAGACUUCAAUUCAGCGUGUCUGGCACGGAGCCUAAGAUUUUGCAUUUCUAACAAGUUCCCAGACCUGGCCUUGCCGCUCACUGAAUUCUUGGAACACUGCUAUGGUCGUGUGAAGAAGCCCAGUUAGCUUCCUUGAAGAUGAAAGACCACAUGGGAGGAGAAGCCAGCCAUCUCAGCCUCCCAGCUGAGAGCAGCCCCAAGCCCGUGGACUCAUGGAAUGCAGCUACCUGAGCAAACACAGAGACCAAAAGAUUACUUUCACUUUCUUGUUCUCUUUCUCAUUUGUAGGUUAACUGAGUUACUUAUAUGGGAAAAACCUAUAAAUUAAAGUAUUCUUAAUAAACUUAUAUGGAACAAAUCUGGAAAUUAAAAUAUUCAUAAUAAACUAGAAAACAUUACUGUAUUCCAUAAUCUAAAAUAUGAACAUAAUAUGCAUUGCAAUCUUUUGAAUUCCCAGAGUAUGUGGAGAGUGAGAAUGAAUAAAUGAAUAAUGUUAAAGCCAAACGUAGUCUAUCACAUCCAAGAUUUAAAAAAAAAAAGCUAAAAAACUGGUCACUCAUGAUAAAAGCAAUUUUUAAAUUGCUGAGUAUUUUAAUAUUUAAAAACUCAGGAUAGUGAAAGCUGGAACCUGAAAACAGAUAUAUAAAGAUGGUUAUACAUAUUUUUUUCUAACAUAAGAAUAAUUAUUUCAGAUUUUGCUAGAUUUAGAGUUUUGAUCAAAAGUCUACAAAAAGUAAACAAACAAACAGGAUUUACAGUCAACAUUGUGAGUAAAUAAGACAGAUAAAUUUUGUAGGCAAGAGAUUCCACCAUUAUUAACUACAGACAACAUCUUUCUGCCAAUUGGAACAUACCAACCUUGCAAAAUGGAAUAUGCUUUGUUUUUUGUUUUUUAAAAAGCAUAGUCUCUUAAAAUCUAGAACUGGCUGAGCUUAAAUGUUAGAGAAGUUAAUUGACUUGCCCAAAAUCACAGUGCUGGGAGGUGGCUUAGGUAAGGUGAAAAGUGAUUUCUAACUACUAGUCUAAUAUUCUUUCCAUUUACCAGUCCACUACCUUCUUUUAUCAUGUUCCUGAAUAUUUUAGAGGUUUAUGCUAUUUUCACAGGCGGUGUGUGGCUUCAGUUUUAGUUGGGAAAAGUGAAGGAUAGUUGCUCCCUAGUGUCAGAACGAUAAACCCCACUGAUUAAUUGAUUCCUUCAUUCAAUAACUAUUUACUCAGUGGCUUCUGUUAUGUUAGGUUCUGUUCUAGGUUCUGGGGCUAUAGCAGUGACCAAAUUGGACAAUAGUUCUCAUUGUUGUGGAGGAUUUUAGUGAGGGAUAUGAAGAAUUGCAGAGGUAAAGUCUCCAGUACU